AUUGAACGCUGGCGGCAGGCCUAACACAUGCAAGUAGAGCGGAGCGGCGGACGGGUGAGUAAGGCCUAGGAAUCAGCCUGGUAGUGGGGGAUGACGUCCGGAAACGGGAGCUAAUACCGCAUACUAUCAGAUGAGCCUAGGUAGUAUUAUCUAGUUGGUGGGGUAAAGGCCUACCAAGGCGACGAUCCGUACCUGGUCUGAGAGGAUGAUCAGUCACACUGGAACUGAGACACGGCCCAGACUCCUACGGGAGGCAGCAGUGGGGAAUAUUGGACAAUGGGCGAAAGCCUGAUCCAGCCAUGCCGCGUGUGUUAAGAAGUUCUUAGGAUUGUAAAGUACUUUAAGUUGGGAGGCGUUACCAACAGAAGAAGCACCGGCUAACUUCGUGCCAGCAGCCGCGGUAAUUC
rnacentral:rRNA from 1 species